AGUGAACGCUGGCGGCGUGCCUAACACAUGCAAGUCGAACGAGAACGGGUAUUAGUUUACUGAUACUGUCAGCUAAGUGGCGCACGGGUGAGUAAUAUAUAGUUAAUCUGCCCCAAAGAAGAGAAUAAUUGUUGGAAACGACUUGUAAUGCUCUAUAUGCCUUUAUUACAUAAGUAAGCAAGGGAAACAUUUAUGGCUUUGGGAUGAGACUGUACGGUAUCAGCUAGUUGGUGAGGUAAUGGCUCACCAAGGCAAUGACAUCUAACUGGUUUGAGAGGAUGAUCAGUCACACUGGAACUGAGACACGGUCCAGACUCCUACGGGAGGCAGCAGUGGGGAAUAUUGCACAAUGGAGGAAACUCUGAUGCAGCAACGCCGCGUGGAGGAUGACACAUUUCGGUGCGUAAACUCCUUUUAUAUGAGAAGAUAAUGACGGUAUCAUAUGAAUAAGCA
rnacentral:rRNA from 1 species